AGGACGAACGCUGGCGGCGUGCCUAACACAUGCAAGUCGAGCGGAAAGGCCCUUCGGGGUACUCGAGCGGCGAACGGGUGAGUAACACGUGAGCAACCUGCCCUUAGCUUCGGGAUAGCUCCGGGAAACCGGAAUUAAUACCGAAUAUGACCAUGGCCGACAUCAGCCAUGGUGGAAAGUUUUUCGGCUAGGGAUGGACUCGCGGCCUAUCAGCUAGUUGGUGAGGUAACGGCCCACCAAGGCGACGACGGGUAGCCGGCCUGAGAGGGCGACCGGCCACACUGGGACUGAGACACGGCCCAGACUCCUACGGGAGGCAGCAGUGGGGAAUAUUGCGCAAUGGGCGAAAGCCUGACGCAGCGACGCCGCGUGGGGGAUGAAUGCCUUCGGUUGUAAACCCUUUCAGCAGGACGAAGCGAAAGUGACGGUACCUGCAGAAGAAGCGCCGGCUAACUACGUGCCAGCAGCCGC
rnacentral:rRNA from 1 species